rnacentral:rRNA from 1 species
CCUACGGGAGGCAGCAGUGAGGAAUAUUGGUCAAUGGACGAGAGUCUGAACCAGCCAAGCAGCGUGAAGGAAGACGGCCCUAUGUGUUGUAAACUCCUUUUGUAAGGGAGUAAAACGUGGCACGUGUGCCCGUUUGCACGUAGUGUACGAAUAAGGAACGGCUAACGCCGCUCCAGCAGCCGCGGUAAUACGGAGGAUGCAAGCGUUAUCCGGAUUUAGUGGGUUUAAAGGGAGCGUAGACGGGUGUGUAAGUCAGUCGUGAAAGGUUGGGGCUCAACCGUAGAAUUGCCAUUGAUACUGUACGGCUUGAGUGCAGUUGAGGUAAGCGGAAUUCGUGGUGUAGCGGUGAAAUGCUUAGAUAUCACGAAGAACACCGAUUGCGAAGGCAGCUUACUAAACUGUGACUGACGUUGAUGCUCGAAAGUGUGGGUAGCAAACAGGAUUAGAUACCCCUGUAGUC